UUAAUAGAUUUCUUUAUCUGUUUUAGAUUAUUACCAACUUCCUUCUUGAAACUAGGAAAGUAUGGAGGGCCUCAUUAGUUCUUUCUCUGCAUUGGACUCGAGCACUGCUAGAAAUGUAAGUUUGUGACUGAAACGUGACUUUUGCUUUCAGAGCAUUUGUGUUCUAGUCUCCCCCUUCCUCCACCAUCCCCCAGUUUUCCAUAUAAAACACGGUGCUUGUAUCUUUCCUUUUCUGUUAAAGACUGGUUUGUAAUGAUGGUAGGAUUUAGUGAAUGCUAAUACAGGUAUUUGUAUUCUCUACAGGGAAGGCAACAUCAGUUCUGGUCUGUAAAUAUGUACAACAUUUUAUGGCUUUCAUGAAAUAUUGGAGGAAUGCAGAGAUGAGGAGUUUAGUAGUACGAUAUUUGUGAGAAGACUGAACUGACUCAGUUUUUUACUUGAAAAGGAAGAUGUGAUGGGUCCAG
rnacentral:lncRNA from 12 species